rnacentral:rRNA from 1 species
UACGAAGGGAGCUAGCGUUGCUCGGAAUUACUGGGCAUAAAGGGCGUCUAGGCGGGUCUGCAAGUCGGGUGUGAAAUCCCUCGGCUCAACCGAGGAACUGCGCCCGAAACGGCAGAUCUUGAGCGCAGAAGGGGAGAGUGGAACUCCUGGUGGAGUGGUGAAAUGCUUUGAUAUCAGGAGGAACGCCGGUGGCGAAAGCGACUCUCUGGACUGCUGCUGACGCUGAAGCGCGAAAGCCAGGGGAGCGAACGGGAUUAGAUACCCCCGUA